rnacentral:rRNA from 1 species
AUUGAACGCUGGCGGCAUGCCUUACACAUGCAAGUCGAACGGCAGCACGGGGGCAACCCUGGUGGCGAGUGGCGAACGGGUGAGUAAUGCAUCGGAACGUGCCCAGUAGUGGGGGAUAACCCGGCGAAAGCCGGGCUAAUACCGCAUACGACCUAUGGGUGAAAGCGGGGGACCGUAAGGCCUCGCGCUAUUGGAGCGGCCGAUGUCUGAUUAGCUAGUUGGCGGGGUAAAGGCCCACCAAGGCGACGAUCAGUAGCUGGUCUGAGAGGACGACCAGCCGCACUGGGACUGAGACACGGCCCAGACUCCUACGGGAGGCAGCAGUGGGGAAUUUUGGACAAUGGGCGCAAGCCGGAUCCAGCCAUGCCGCGUGCGGGAAGAAGGCCUUCGGGUUGUAAACCGCUUUUGGCAGGAACGAAACGGCGCGGGUGAAUAUCCCGCGCUAAUGACGGUACCUGCAGAAUAAGCACCGGCUAACUACGUGCCAGCAGCCGCGGUAA